AUCUAUCUAUCUAUCUAUCUAUCUAUUUUUUUUGGUUCAGAGUAAUGUCUUUACCCAAAUGUUUUUUAAACAAAUAAACCCACUGGAAAAUAUUUUCGAAGUCUUUUUUUAAGGCAGCAAAAAUAAAUUUAGACACGGCAAAAAAUAAUUGUCAAUUUUGAUCUCAGCAGAAGAUUUAUCUUCACAAAUAACCCAGGGUGGUAUGUGGAUGUGUGGCCAAAAGUGAUAAGAUUAUAAAAUAUCAGCGAGAAACAGUCACAAUAGUGGAGUCUGGGAGUGCAGAUAUUUUAGAUUUGGCAUAUUUGGAAUAGCUUUAUUAUUAUUAUUGUUGUAACAUAUUCUGAAAGUGGAAACAGUGGGCGAGGACAGGAUAAUCCCAUCGCUAUGAUGGCCUUUGGUUUCUCCAUCACUUCCACGAUGGGCACAAACUGUUUUCCAGUUACUUGCAUUAAGACAUUACAACUGUUAGAAUUUGGAGAAAUAUGCCUCUCUUUCCGCGAAACUUCUCUGGGUGCCAUAGAAUGGGUUUUCUUGAGAUCCUUUCACAUACUAGGGACUGGGGUUAGGUACGGAGUGGCACAGGGCUUGAGUCUUAUACACAGUCUCGUUUGCACAGAGGCCAGAAGUAAGUAGAGUCGAAAAGAACUGGUGAACAAAACCUGCACUGGCUUCCAGCAGCUCCCUGCAGAGGCGCCCUGCACAAAUGCCAAAAAGCAGAGUGGAGACCGACUGGAAGAUGGCUCGAGAGUUCCUUGAUUUUCUCCCAUCAGGGAAACGGCAAUAAAGCUGGAAGCCACGGGCCAGAAGGCCCUGCAAAAUGUCUGGGGAGAAGCAGAUAAUGAGGGGAACUUGACUUGCACAUAUUAAUUCAAUCCGCAGAAACUGGAGGUUUUAGUCCAGGGUUCCAGACCUACCGGAAAGAGCAAUCUCUGUGAGCAGCUAUUUCCUAGCAUUGAAAAAUUUACGUGGAAAGUCAAGAGCGUCUCAUUUCCUGGAACUAAAGAAAGUACGUCCCCUACUAGGUUCCUGCUCACACCGUCUCAGAAGACCCUCUCCUGAAAUCCCACCAGACCUUCUCCCAGGAUGACCUAAAUGCAGACGGUCAGCUGGUACUCCAGGUUCCAAUCAGGGAAAACAACCGUACAACCUUCUACGGUAGCUUCUAGAAGGCAGCCAGUCUCCUUACGAGCUUCUCUUUCACAACGCCUAGAACCCAGCUCUCGUGGCGACUGUGAGUGUCGGUGAAGAGGGCCGGCAGCCGGGGAGGAAGGCGGGCUGGUGACAGCAUUCUUCACCUGUGUGGUCAGAGUUCUUCCUGAUCUGUGCAAUCGCUUCUUGAUGUUCCAGACGCAGGCCAGGAAGGCAAAAAGGAAGUGCAAGACACCAUCGCACCUAGAUUCCAGAAAGCUUUCGCUCCGUUUGGAUCAACUUGAGAGGAUGCGCUAAUAAACAGGGUUUCCAGAGAUCCUGGGAAGCAGCCCGGAGACCGGAGCCGGGGCACCUGGCGGGAGCUUCAGCGCGCCUUCCUCCCUGGAACAGCGCUGUCACUUGGCACCGUUGUCCUGGCAAGUCAGCCCCGUUCACAGUCCCUCUGAUUGGUCAGCCCUGUCCUUCCAGAUACGCCUUUCUGACAUCUUGCCUCCACGGUGCUGCCUUGCCAGAGGGGGGGUUCUCACCUGGGCCGUCACAGGGUCCAGCCUCCAAUCAGGAUGCUCCCCAGGUAUUUCCAAAUCACCAGGAGGAACGUGGGCUGUGCUCCGGGCUGAUUCCUCCCACCCUCCCUCCUGUUCUUUCCUCUCUCCCUUCCUGUCUUCCUUCCUUUCCCCUGUCCUUUCUACCUUCCUGCCCCUUAUUUAUUGACUUCCUGCUAUAUGCGGGGCACUAAGAGUUUGUUAAUUACCUGGGGGUUAGGCUGAGCUCUUAGAUUUGAAGAUGAGGGAAACAGUGUUGAAAGCACCUAAAGGAGAAGAAAAUUUAUGGGGUGUGUGUUGCAUAAAUGCCCUUCGCUAAUCAGAAAGAUUGUGAAAUGAUUUGGACUUGAAUAAGUCGACGAAGGGGGCAGAGGGGCAAACGGCAAAGCUCGGAGACAGUAGGUGCAGAAAGAGUGAUAGCGCAAAAAUAAAUCCGCAGUGCCUAUCAAAUGAAUUUGCGCAGUGCUCCUCCUGUUCAUCCCGACCUGGGCCGGCGGCAAGGGGAACCGAGAGAAAAGUGGAAAAGAUGCUCUGGGGAGGCGUCUUGCUUCGGAGCUGCUGACCGAUACACUACGCGUGGAUUCCCCGGGGAUUUCCAGGCAGGUGGCUGUGGAACAGGCAGAGGUUUAGUGGUUUCCCAGGAAGGAAUAAAUUUCCUGCAGUGAAUCACCCUGUGUCAAGGAGGAUUUUUGUGACAUCAGCUCCAAGCAGAUCAUCGAGGCUUUCCCACUCAAGAGGGCAUUGGAGCAUAACACCACCAUGGCCCACACUUUAUUUUUUCUUUCUUGUAUUUUCCAAAGGGCCAUUUGGACCAAAAGUGGCCUGUGGCCCCUGGAAACUCUGAGUAACGGCUUGGCAUCUUAGGAAUCUGUCUGUCGUGCUUUGUGGAAGAGUCUGGAAAGGUCUAGUUCUGUCUGGAAAACAAAACUCACGGUUGUUAACGUGAAAGUGUAACCCUGCUUCUUCCUUUUCUUCUAAUAAAUGCUGCAAACUUGAAAUAAAAUGAAUUAGACCCCUUGGA